CAGUCGUACCGGCGGAUAAUCAGCCUUUUGGGUGUGAUUUUGUGGAGCGUGAGGAGUUAAACGCCUUCACGCCUGCAUAUUCGUGCACUUUGGGUGUACUUGCCCGUAUGGUUGGUUAACAUCAAUUUUGGUGGUCAUAAAAUGGCUGGAGGAAUGUAGCUUCGAUCUCGUAUUGAAGUGUUAUAGCCUUCGGUAGAUGUGAUGAUCGAGAUUGAG
rnacentral:rRNA from 1 species